rnacentral:lncRNA from 1 species
GUCCUAACAGGAGCUGGCAGCUAAACAGUAAAUCCUUCUGCAGCACACCGUCACAUCUGGGAGUCUGAUUAAGAAAUGCACCUGCAGGCGAGACGGUCGGAGUGGAGAGAGAGAAGAGGAAAUAUUCCCAAAGACGAUCAGGGACGCCUUAAAGAGACUGAUUUAUCGGUAAGAGAAAAACAGAAAAAACAGAAAAACAGAGAACUUACCUUUGUAUUGGCUUACUAAGAUUUCUGCUUCUUCCCCCUUAAAUCCACAACAUGAAAUUUACUUGUAUGCAUAUUUGGAUUAAGAGAUGGCUGUCAGCCUUUAGUAAAGUUACUUCAUCAGCUGUGAGUUUGAACAAGGACUUGCAUGACUCGAAGGAGCAGCUUUUCAUCUCCGAGUCGCUCAUAAAUGAUCUCAAAGAUCAAUACUGAUCGUCACAUGAUGAAUGUCUGGGAUGAAAAACUGAAUAACUUGAAGGAGCUUGUAGCUUUAUCAUGAGAAAAUCAGCUCUUUGUGCUGCAGCGUUAACUCAGCGAGGAGGACAUGAUCAUCGGUUCUUAAAGGAAACAGUCAGACAUCUCCAGACUUGGACAUUGUUGGGAGUUUAAAUGUUAAAUGUUGUAUCCGGAACCAUGUAGUGUCCUGUUGAUCCAUUUGGCAAUAGCAGUGUGAAGAAACCCAGCAUGCACCCGCCUCAUACUUAAAGCAACAUCAUCUGUGGUCAUGAACAAACCAUCAGACUCAUUCAGACUAAAUUUUGCAUCUUAAAGUAAGAGAUUUGUCUGAUAUAUUUUUGACAUUAUAAAAUAAGAGUUUCCCUUGCAUUGCUGCACAUGAUUAAGUUAACAUUAUCAAGUUUUAAGUCCACGGCUCCACUGAUGGUCAAACUUGGAUCAAAUAAAAAUGUGAACAGCGUUUCGUUCUCCUGUUUUAUUUCCACAAAUGUGUCAGACCUCCGCCGGCCUCCGUCACAACUCCAGCUUUAUUAGGCUGAAUGAUACGUCAAGGUCGGGGACCACAUAAAGAAAAAGAGCAGAGUGACUCAUAACUGGAGUGGAUCUGACUUUUAAAGGUCGGCAUUAGCUUCCUCUAAUCCUCAUUGAAUACUAAGUACCGAACAAAACUCUCCACUCUUCAGUUCUGAAACUUUUCACAGUUUUGUGACAAAAACCACAAAGUCUGAUUCAAACCUUAGAAAUCUUAGAAACCUCAGAAAUUUGCCAAAAAAUACAACUGGACAAGAUCAACAAAGUGAUACUGUACAUGUUUGCCCACAGAGUAGAGGUUGAAAUCGAUAACCAUGUCCAUUAAAUACCUGUUAGAGCAUUUUUUAAAGUCUGAAAAUCAGUAACAUUUGAGCUUAUCCAGUCUGCAGUCAGGUCUCAAGGGUCCAUGAAGUGAAGUUAUAGUUAUUAAUACAUUAAUAGACUGUCUGAUUAAGCGUGUGAACAGCAAAUAGUUAUAAAAGUAAACAACAAAGAAAUUGCAAUAAUGGCUGAGGGGGUCAAAAGUGUGGUUACAUGGUACCGAAGCAGAAGAAAUGCAUUUUACACACAUCAGCACUGUCCACCACACGCCUGGGGUUUCAAGACAACCGUGGGUCACUAUUUAGUAAAUAAAGAUGAGUGUUGGUUCAACUGAAAAGACUUCAGUCCAAAAACAACCGCUGCCUUAAGGAGAAGAUGGUGUGACUGUGGGUGAAGAGGUUGUUGCUCAGUGGGAAAAAAAGGUGCUGCUGCAAAGAAGCUAAAUACAAAGUCCACUGACUGCAGAAACUUGAUCAGGAUGAUGCUUGAAACUGCUUUUCCCAAGACUUUAGAACAGCAUCUCAUAUAUGUGGGUGAAUUUAUAGAGCAGUUUAAAACUUUUGGUCCGUGUCUGUUCUGAACGAAGUCGUCUUUGCUGAUUUAAAGUUGGUGUUUUUGAGAAAAUCAUCUUAUCUACUUUAACACUCCCCUCCAGUGGUUUUAGAUGGUUAAAAUUACUAAGCGGAGACUAGAAAACCGUCUCUCCUCCUUUUUUAGAUCAUUAUGAAACAUAAAUAUUGACUUCAGUGUGUUUUAUAACCAGCCCAAAAAUGACUCACAGGAACUUUAAACCUAAAAGCCUUUUUAAACUCUGUUUGUGCAUUAAUACUCUCAUUGUGUUCAGCAAUGUGCAGUUUUGAUGCAGACGCGUUUCUCCAUAUAUUACAAACUGCUCUUGCCACCACCCCAGCUACUCAUGCAGUAUUGAGACCUAGCUCGAAGUAGCAUUACUGGUUGUGAGGUACAGAUGGACACUUGUCCCGCCCACCUCUGCUGGACGCUUGUCUUGAAUUGAGGCGUGUUUUUCCAAAUCAAACCAGCUCUAUAAAAGUGUCCAACCAUUUCAAAAACGAAAUAAAAAGUGUUUUUGCUUGACUAGCCCGUCUCACUAUGCACUGAAGUGGCCACUUGUGUCUCAGAGUGCCAUCUUCUGGGUAAGAUACUGCACUGCAAUUAAAAAUCUCUGUAUUUUUAACCACUCUGUUGGUUUCAUCAGUGUACGGGAUCUAGCUCACUUUCUCUGUGACUAAAAUGGUAAGAACUUUCACAAUAAUAUACUUUUUGUCUGUAUUUUUUAAUUUUAUUUGUGAGUAUUUGGGUUACAGUCGCUGAAAGGAUUGAUCGAGGGCAGAAAAAAAUUAGCCUCCAUCCAGUUUUAUCGAGCCCGGACACCCUGCGAAGGAAACCCAUUUUGGCCGCUUGUAUCCGCGAUCUUGUUCUUUUGGUCAUUACCCAAAGUUCACGGCCAUAGGUGAGGAUUGGCAUGUAGAUCGACCAGUAAAUCAAGAGUGGACUUAGAGGUGCUGAUUCGCAUCCCAGCGGCUUCACACUCGGCCGCGAACUGGCCCAGCAAGAGCUGAAGGUCACUGCUCGACGAAGCUAGAAGUACCACAUCAUCCGCAAAAAGCAGCGAUGCGAUCCUCUGCCUGCUGAACUGGACACCCUUCAACCCCCGGCUGCGUAGUGUUUGUUUUGAGUUAAACAUUGCAGCAGAUAUUGUUGCUCAGAUUCGUGUUUGUGUCUCUGUUGUGAAGUUUUUUCCUGACUCUUCCUCAGACAGGAAAAAAACGGUAUUAGCUCGGUGUUCUUGUUAAUUUGUGUUGCUGUUUGACCUUGAAAACGCCAGGUUGGUGGCCUGCUCUUAUUGAACACCUUACCGCGGCCGAGGUGCCAGCUGGUGGCGACAGAUUUGAGAAAUGAAAGGCUGAGGCGGCGCAGGCAGACCUCCGCUCUGUUUAUCUGGAGCAGAUGGCAAAGACACGAUAAGAAUUUGUAAUCCACCGUUAUUACCACCUCUGCUGCGAGCGUCGUUGCUGCUGCUUUGACAAACAUUAAAAUCCUUGCUGAAGGUUUGUUUUCUCUGUUCUUACACAAGCUGGGAUCUUUGUUGAUAGUAGGAUGUUAGAAAAUGCCCUUGGAUGCAGGUAAGUAGUGGAGGAGAGAAGGUAAAUAAAGGCCUCUGUGGUUUAAACACUAUCAGGACCAAACUGCACAACAAACAGGGACUAAUUAGUGAUAUGAAAGUCGGUCUAUCAUGCACUUAGAACUGUUCUUUGCAUGAGGGACACUCUCUGAGGACGUGUGUGUGUUAAUAUGGCUGUGGGUGUUAGUAAUAAUGAUAUCCCCGCCUCUUAUUAUCAUCCUGGGUUUGAACUUUUAGCACAUAAUAACUCUGUGGUGGAGCGUCUGAGCUGUUUUGCAGUUUUGUUGGGUAUAAAAUGGUCAAUCUGAAAGCCGGUUUAACUCGGCAAUCAUUUCAGCCGAGGCUGAGGAGGAAAGUAAGAAAGUAUAUCCACUCCAGUGCAGACCUGCACUUUGUCUUUGAGGUGCUUCUAUAUUAACACAGUAUUUCACCUGCUCUGCUAUAUUUCAGGAUAAUACCACACUGACCUAAAUUGCAGACUCGGGCUCAGUCCCAUCUCUCAUUUUUACCCCUCUACCGCUCAUUUUCGAGGGCUGCUUUGCCUCUUGAAAUGGAGCGGCAAGAAAGAUAGGGAGACUUUUUUUCCUCUGCAAAAUAGGACCAACCAUUUAGGACCUUGUUAAAUCAUCAAUAGCCCUGAAACUAACAGGCAGAUAAAACCAAGGCUGGAAAUUAUCAGCAGAAUUUUACAAUAUUUCACUGUAAUAUUUUACUUUUAAUGAAUGUAUCAUCACUUUACAGGAUUUAACCGUAAUGUUAACAGUAUAAUACUGUAAUUUUGAAUUUUAAUGUGAAAUCAAUACAGGAACAGUAAAUUACUCUGAAAUACUUACAGUAAAUCACCAGGAAAUCACUGAGAAAGUGGUGGAACUAGUCGUCUGUAAUUUACAGUAAAUUUACAGCCAAAAAGAACAACAUUUGUAGGUAGGCACAUCUGAUUUGAUCUCAUGUAAAGACAUUUCUCAUCUUUGAUUCCACUUUGAACACAACAACUCAAUAAUAACCCACUCAGAGUCAUAAUAAUAAUGCAGUAUCCUUUAAUUUGUGCUAAUGACAUCGACUACAUUAUGAUAUAAUAGAUUUUUAGGUGAAGUCUUCUUCAUGGAAAAAAACAACAGUACCCUUUUUUGAGGUCACCAGAAUCAACUCUGCAUGAAAGCCCCUCUAAUUUCUAAUUAUUUAAGUAAAAGUGACAUCUAACCAAAGUGAACAGACUAUAUUCACAAAUAAACCACCCAGAGGAGGAACCAACGCAAGAACAGCACCCUCUGGUGACGGGCUGCAGUAUAGAUCAUAAAUCCCGCCUCCUCCGGUAAUCCCUAUGGAGCUGUGGACAAACUUUAUACAUUAAUGACACAGAAUAUAAAUGUUUCUCCCCCCUGCUUGUGAUGUUGACAUGUAGUUACUGUCAGACUGGUUUGUGAUCAAGUCCUCUUUUUUUCCGUACAGCUCCAUUUUUAAAAGUUCUUAGGGGGUUCAAGUUUUCUAUGAUUGACACCUGAUACAGCCUAUUGGCGUACGAAGGUUGCGUAGCUCACCCGAGGGGAUACGCUGUUUGAGCCGAGCGUAAUCACAGCGACUCACCCGCCGAAUGCGUACAAUGGUACUGCGCAAGUGGUGGCUCCAGGAAGUGGAGAAAAUUCUGGAAAUACUGAGAGCAAUAAUGACUGAAGGCGGAGCCAAGUUGUCCAUAAUAUAGUCUAUGGGUGGUGCUGUUGUCAUGAUAACAGGGACUUUUGAGCUUUCUGUCCCUCACAAAUGCUGCAGACUCAGUCUCAGUCACUCUCACCGAGCAUGGCUGUUAGCACUGAUGUUUGUGAAAUAGUCAUUUUUGGAAUGAGGUUCAUUUGCAUAAUGGCUUAUGUAAAUAUGCACAAUAGCAGCCAUGCCCCAGGAUACUAUUUGUUUUACUUAGCAGCUUUCGGUGCAUAUAACUCUUUGCAUAUACUUUGUGAAUUAGAUGCUUUUUGUUUAAUAUGCACAGGUUUUCCAUGUGCAAAGCUGCAUAAACCUCAAUGAAUCAGGUCUUGAGAGGAAUGUCUGUCGGCAGCAGGUGUUCAACCGGGACCCGGAGCAGGUGGCUUGAAAAGGUGGAGGAAAUAUCUCAGUGGGACAGGUGGAAGAUGGUAUGGGAUGUUGGAAAAACUGGUUCAAAACAGAAGAGGCAGAGGAGAUGACACAGUGGCCUGAAAACAUCUCUCAAAGUCUCUCAAAUUCAAAGAAAAGAAGAGAUCAGCAAUACUACGCAGCUACAACACAGACUGGACCACCGUGGGAAAGGGGAACACUCCCCGCAUAUGUCGGACUCUUUUAUUCAGUCAUCGCUGUCAGUCUCUGUGAAGAAAAAUCAAGAUGAAGAUAAAGAGAAAUCAUCGCUGAGGUUAUUGAAAAGUAUCCUGGGAGAUCCUCACUAGAAGAAGCAGAAGAAAGGGUGCUCAUCAAAUAAUCGGUGUGCUCGUCAGCUCAGGAUGGAUACACACUCCAGUGUAAGAGACUCUCCUGCAGGUUUUAUCUUUGCUCUGAAUUCAGAGAUCAGCCACGACCUCCCCUGUUACAUUUACCUUCGCUGAAACCCUCCCUGUCACUCAAGGGACCAUGAUGUAAGAGGAGAGUAAGACCCGAAACGAACAAAUAUUGACGGAGAUGCUUGAGAGUAUAAAGGCAGGAGGCUGAUUUAGAUGAUGGUUUUGUUUCAGAAAAGCACCUUUAACAUAAACAGAUGCUGUUAAAGACAUCAGGAGGUUUUCUUUCUUUGUCAAAAGUACUAAUUUACUACCAUAAAAGCAUAAUCAUCGUGGAUUUAACAAAAGUCCUUCCAAAAACACCUGUUAGUGGUCACCUAUGAACUAGUGUAUGGAAAAGCUAAUCUACAUUUUUCAGAGUGAGUGGGAAAUUGGCCAGUGAGGGUAAAGCUGCAGCUGUUACCUUCAUGUUUUCUCUUCUUUUAUCGGCUGUAACUUUCCGUUUCAUCGAUGAAACGUAUAAAACAAGGCCAAAAAUGUUUAUACUGCCCCACAGAAGCACAUUUAUCAAUAUUAUCACGGUAUUGCCGAAAUAUGUUCAAAAUGUAUAAAAAGUACUUAUACUCGCCCUGAAAUCAUUUAACAAGGUUUUAUUUUGAAAAAACAAUCAAAAUAACACAUAGAAUGAACGUUUCCUUAACCUUAAAUGACAGAGGAGAGAUACGCUUAAAAAAUGAAAGAUGGGGCCUUUUAAGAGCCAGAGGUCAUCAACACUGGUACUUUGUACUUUGUAAAAACAAAGUACAAUGUGCCAGUGGCAUAAAAAUUAACAUAAUAACAAAUAAAUAAAAUUUAUAUAAACUGACAUCCUUUAUUGUGCAAACUGUAAGAAUCUUUAGUGCUCAAAAAGAUGGACUCUAAUAAAUAUAGAACAGAGCGACACGAUUAUAUGAAACAAAACAACCACAUGUAAACAAAUGUGAAGUGCAGGAGUUUAAAAUAACAUCAAAUAUGUAAACUAAUCAAAUGAAGCGAUUGUCCGUUUUCUUCACCAUAAGGUGCUGCUGCUGACUUUGUUCACUACUUGAGAUUGAAAUGUAAAAAUGGCUGCAGAUUUACUUUGUCUGGUUUAAGUCGUGAUCUGCGAGGGGAAAUGAUGUGUGCGCUGGAACUGAAUAGCCUCUUGGAUGACAUGCUGGUUGCUGGGAUGCGCAAAAGCUUCCUGGCAACCCUUGCGACCCUUUGUAAAAGCCGAAAUACGCCCAGACUUCGGACUUUGUUUUCUUUGACAGCGGAAAAAUCUCUGCAACACUGUUGGCAACCUGUGUCCGAAGGACUGCUGUGUGCGGCUGCUCUUUUCAGCACUGAGCAAUCUUUGAGCGUUUCCAGAGUGUGGCAAUCAAACACGGUUUUAACGGUAAUUGAAAUUUGAAACGGUAGUACUAACUGUCAGGCAUUUUACCGCGGUUUAUCAUUUUACCGGUAAUUGAUACAUCCCUACACUGUCGGAUGUCUGAUCUAAGAGAGUGCGAGGCAGGACAAGAUCUUGAGUUUGGUUGUGUGAGGUAGUGGCAUCUGUAAUUAAGCUAUUUUUGUUAAAGUCCAGUUAAAUAUUGUUGAAGCAGGUGUUUUGUUUUUGCUCUAUGUGGAACAUUUUUAGUGUUUUAUUUUGCAUCAGACCACCUGUUUGUUUGUGCAGUUUUUCGCGGCUGUGUCUAUGUAAACAGCAUGCUAGUGUUCCUGUGUCAGGUUGGUUUAUUUUGGUCUCUUUUGAAGUCUGCAGACCCAAACAGCUGAUUGGCAAAAAAAAUCACUUAAAUGUUGGAUCCAGAAAUUGUGCAAGAAUAAAACUCUGGGGUUUGAGUUUCGUAGAAUUAGCUAAAUUUCAUGGUGGAGUUGAUCAAGUGGGGUUGUCAUGUGCCGCUUCUCUGGUCGGUAUCCCUUACACUGCCUGACAAGUAUGUCAUGAAACACUGCUUAAAAUACGGACUGUCCCUUUAAUGAUACAGAUUACAACAGUUAAGUGUGUAGAUAUCAAAGGUAGCCAACAUUAAUCACCAAAAAGAUGAGAAAUCCUGGUCUGAAGCAGGUACCUGAGGCUGACUGAGUCAUCUGAGGAGCAGAUUAGACAGCCGUCCAUCACACGGAGAGGAGAGGAAACAGCCUGAGCCUCAAUCUUUAAGGCACGGUUUCAAAGGUCAGAGGGAUUUGUGAUGUGAUCGCCCUGACAGCCUUUCCACAAAUGAUGUCACCCUCCACCACCUCUGCUUCGACUUCUUCCUCCACUGCUGUCCGUCCGCUCACUGCAUCAAAGACUCUCUCUAAAGGACCGGUUUCAGCUGCCCACUGGUGUGUGAAGACUCAAUCAACUUUAUUAAUCGCUAUUUUCUCUCCAAAGGUCUUGAACUUUCUCUCUGGCUUAAAACCCCUUUCCUCCUCUUUCAGUCUCAGAUUUGUUAUGACUUCUCCAGUAGAGCAGUUUUUCCAGACUAUCUAAUCCUUCAACAGCUGAUUUUAAACUGAAUUCAAAGACGUUUUGAUCAUUUGGUUCUCCAGAUCGCUGCAGGACUUUAUAUUAGGACCUGUUUUGGCGAAUGUUAGGAUUUUAAUGAGUCUGUCCACCAAAUUGAUUUUAAUUUCUAUAACUUUGAUAAAACACACCCGUGUGUGUCUGAAUACUCAUUUACCCUGCCAACAGAGGACUUUGGUUUUAUUCGUAAGUGACCAAGUGGGGACCAAUCAGAGCAGAAGGGUUUGGGGGACUCUUAUCGGUUGUGUUUUCAUCUAUUUCAAACCAUGAUCAUCUCUGGUGAUUAUUCUUUCAUAAUCAAUGGAUCUUAACUGGUGUAAAAGUUUAAUUUGUGUGUGUUUACUCACCAACGUACACAACAGAGGACUUUGGUUUCGUUGCCAAGUCAACAACAGGGGACCAACAUUAAGUGGACGUUUUGGUGGACUGUGGUUGGUCGUUCUUUUGGUGAUGCUGAGGGUAAGAUGAGAGUUUUUAGUGUUUUUUUUAACAUCAGUGGUAAAUAAUAUGGCUCUAUUUGUUUUCUCAGCAUUUUGAUUUAAAAAAAAAAAGCACCCUUGCAUCGUAAAGUUUCCUCUUUUGUUGAUGAUACUAUUCUUCUUUCACAGCGUAAAUGGGAUUUUAAUGUGUUUACUUAUUCUGUGAAACAUAUUGUUGCAUUUGCAUAACAAAUAAAGGAGUAAUUGUUUUGAUUUAUUAAGAAAAAUGUGAAUUUUGCCUCCUUAUUGUUGAUCUCUCAUACAAGUUGUGAAGUAUUAACCCAAUUUACCCAAAUGAAAGCAAACAAGAACACUGACGAAAAACUAGCAAUUGUUCGUUUAAUUUUUUAAUGGUAGUAGCAGUAAGAGGUCAUAGGUGUCAGACAAGACCAUCUGUACACUGAAGGAACUGCAAUUAAUCACAAUAAAAAGGGUAAGAUGGAGUAAUACGGAGUUAGAUGUUCUUGCAAACAAGCACCAAGCAGACGUAAACUGAUAGCCUGUCUCUUAGGGGUGUGCAUGAUACGAGUAAACGACUGCCACAUGCACCUCAAUUUUCAGAGAUCUAAAACUGAAAAAGAAAAACCUACUUACUCAAAAAUAUUCACAUGAGCUCAGACGCUGACUGAGGAGUCUUAAGGAACUACAGGAAAGUAGUUCCCGCCUCUUUGUUUAAAAAAGUACUCUGUCAGUUGCUGUACUUUCUCACUGACCUGUGCGUACAUGCUGUUGUUCGUCCCCAGAGUUUGAUUCUUGAAGGUCGUAAAUUAAGAGGGAUCCACUGAGUUCAGUGAGAAACGCCGCCGUCACUUCCAUCUCUUUGGAAACGGAGAACAUUUGCGUCCUGCUGGCGCAGUCAUGCAGCAGUAAAGAGUGCUGCAUCGGGCUGGAAGCAGUAAAUUAACUUCUCCCUUUCUCCUCCAUAACCGCUCUGCAUCCUGUUUACCAAGUGUUCCUCUCGGCUUUGAGCUACGGCCUUUGGCUCCUGGUGUAAUGUACAGUAUCAAAUUGCUUCUCUUAAAGGAGCAAUCAUGCAGCACUCCAGGGGAUGCCGAGCAAAGUAAUUGAACAUUCGCCGGUAAGCCGUUGACGUACAGUGUGACACCUCUGGGCUCUGACCGCUGGGUGUUUCAGUUUGCUUUUGCCUGGGUCAUAAAUAUGUGAACGGCCUUGAAUCCCAGCUGGGAACCACUGGGAACACUGGAGGCGAAUGACAGACACUUCCUCCCCUCCCCCAUACUCAGGACAGAUUUACUGAGGGCUCUCUCCAGGUGUAAAUGAACUGAAUCCUUAAAGGAGCCCAGAGGGUGAAUUUUGAUGCACAUCUCCACCGGAGAAAAUGUCAGACCCUGCUGAAAACCCCUCUCAUUCAGGCAGUACAGUAUCUCAAUGCUGACAGUAAGUAUUGAAUGGGUUUCCCAUCUUCUCUCUCCAUAUUCUCCCACCCAUCUACCUCAUACCUGUGAAUAGAAAUGAGGUGAAGGCAUCUGCAGGACUAACAUAACAUUUGACAGCAGGACACCCUCCUCUCGGUCAGAUCCCUGCAUCAUGGCUGCACUUAAACACGCAGAUCACCAACCGUGCUGAACUGUAAUUGCCAUUCAGCAAAUAUCUGAGAGUGUGGGGCUGCGGCGUGCACGCUCAUAAACCCCCUCGCUGGAAUAUCUGCUCCUACGCAUGAGGGUAUUACUCACCACGCUGUUAUUGUUCGCAAAUAAAACCAAAGAGUAAUAAAGGAGGUCCUUUAAAAAUUCAUGUGAGCUGAAUGAGCUGGAUGCUAAGCGCUGUGGGUGGCGGAGCGUGAGCGGCGUAUUUGUGUGUGUGUGUGCGUGUUUGAUGGGGGAGUAAGUAUGAAGCUUUAUUCUAAAUUAUUCUGGUCAUUAAGCUGCAUCAGCGUCUGUGUGUCACAGCUCUCUGCCCCUGACUGAGUGUGUGUGUGUGUCUGUAGAGUUUGUGUGUUUGCAGACAAUAUAUGCAUUUAUGGAGAUGACUAAUGUAUUCAUAUUACUUGAGUGCAGGUGUGUUUUCAUAUGCGUAUAUGAAGAGUUAGUGCUUGUGUGUGUAUGCAUGGCUUGGUAUGGAUACACUGUAUAAUGGUGGCGUGCAUCUGUGUGUGUGUGUGUGUGAGAGAGAGAUUGCACUCUUACAUUUGCAUUCAGUGAACCUGUGUGAGUGCAAAUGUUUGUCCUGGUGUAUUGUGUGUGUGUGCAUCUCUGUGAUGGUAUUAUGUGUUUGUGUUCCUGUGUAGAGUAUGUGCACGCCUAUUAUUCAUUCUCUUUAUUCAAAUAUGAGCGCAUGAUACUCUGUUGUGUUUUAGUGUGCGGUCUCUUGUCUUGACUGGGACCAGGUUAAGAAUAAAGUACAUGCAGAAAGUUUUCAAUAACAUCUCCUAGAGCUACGAAGUGUCAUGCAUUUUAGAGGAAAUAUGAACACCUGUUUAUGUGUAUGGUUGCUUUGAGUAAAACUGGACCAUUUUAAAGUUUAGUUUGGGGUCUUUAUUGUAGUUUAAAGUUUAAGUAUUUUGUCAUAUAUAUAAAUAUGUAUAUGCCGACAACACAUGGGCUUACACGUCACCAAAUAGAAGCUAUCUCAUCCUCUUUUCCAGGCUUUGAGACAAAAUUAGCAGCUUGAAACAUCAAAUUUAAUCCAGUUUUUUGCUCAUCCUGCUGCGUCUUUUAUUCCCUGACUUUUGGUGAGCGAUUUGGUGAGUAAGUUUCUCAGGUCAUCAUAUUUGACAUGGAUUCAGGGUUAAAAUUCUGUUUUAUUUACGCAUUUUGUUUCCUUAGUUUGAGCUCAGACAGAACAUUUUCAGACCACUUUUCAGCACUGAUUAUUCCUGUACAUGUUUGUCAUAUCCAAAGGUGAUCAUAUUCUGAAUCCCCAAAAUUUGGAGGAUUUUCGGGUCGGGUGAAGUGUUUUUUACACACUUCUAACUCCAGGUAGUCCACGGUACACAAACUGGACACAAACUUCCAUACAAAACCCGGAUAUUUGAAGGAUUUUAUAAACUUCCCCUGGACAGGCCGGACAGCCCCCAAACAGAGGACAUGUUCGGGUAAAAGAGGACGUAUGGUCACCCUAUCAUAUCCUCCUCCUCAAAAAUCAUUUCUUUAUUUAUAAAUCUUUAUUUAUAAAAUCAUUAUGGAGAAAAUGCCCAAAUAACACCCACAGCGAGGGAUAUUUUGGCUUUGCUGUUGAACGACAGGAGCGGUGCCAUCUGAACAGGAACGCCAACACCACAAAAGUGAGAGUAAAAAGUACUUUUAAGGGUUUUGGAUGUUAGUCAAAAAGUUUCCAAAACUCCUCCUGGGAUGCUCACACGCUGAGGCGAUAUCACCGUGUUUGAAAGUUGAUCUACUCCCUUUCUAAUCCUCCCCAACAGGGGAAUAUAUUCCUCUAUUUUCCUACGCAAAGCUCUUUGCAUUUAAACAUUUUGAGCUCAUUUGUCAACAUUUCAUGAAACCAGACUGACCUCACUUGCUCUUUCACUUACCUCUAUCUGCCUCCGUCCAUCACUCCGUUCCUCUCUCGCCUCCCAAAGUAUUCCAUUAUUCAACGAUUCACCUUUAGCACCUCUCCUCUCCCGCUGUCUCUGGCACUAAAUCUACUUUCAGACUUUAUUGUCCUUGAAAUUAGGUUUGCAGCAAAGUCCGCCACACAGAACAUACAAUAAACAAAAUCUACCGGAACAUAUGAGACACAGACGUUUAAGAUGAACCGUGGAACGAGAGGAAGAUUGACUGACCGGAGAGUCUGGGAGCCUCUGCCUCCUAUUUUCCUUUAUCUUCUCUCACAGAUGUCCAUCUAUCUCUCUCGCCUUUAUAACUCCUCUGGUCUGCACCUGUUCACUCAAUUUAAAAGUUCCACACGUAGAUAUACAACUACCAAAGUGUUUCUCCUUGUGCUGUGAGUCAAAGUUACUCCAUGAAAAUACUUGUGUAACAGUUUCUGUCAAACUCUGUCCAUGCAGACCUGACUAACCCUUCUUUGUUUCUGUCUUUUGCUUGAUUCAGAUCACCUGGACUUGGUGUUUCGACAGCAUGAAAGUCCAACUCCAGCGCUGCUCGCUCCGUCAUUUCCCCUGGUCUCAUCCCAGCCAUCAUAUUAGUCCUGGCUCUUGAUCUUCGUCAUGUCAAAGUAAGCGGUUUCCAACAUUUCUCUCUUUGGAGGGUUAGGGUUAGCAAAGUUUGGGUGUUUGUUGGGAAAGGAAGAACCGAGUGUUUGGGGAUGACUUUGCAGGGUAAGAAAAAUGAUUACCUUGUUCCUGUUGAGAGAGUUGAUAUGGUUCAGUAUGUGUAUACUGCUUUGGUUGGACAGACAGUUUCGGUACGGUACUUAUUGGGCUGGUUUUCUUGUUCUUUCUGUCAUUCUAAUGGCUCUUAUUCUGUGCAAUGACUCUUGACUUUAUAGAUGAACUUUUGAACAUCCAGGAUAGGAAAGGACAACAUUUCAGCACUUUUUAUGGCAAGCUUAGAAGUUUUUUUUUUUUACAUGAAAACAACAGAUAAAGUACUUAAAAGGAAGUUGGGACCUUUUCACACUGUCUGAGUUAGUACUUGAACUGUUUCACUGAAAACAGAAGAGGACCAAGAGUGUAGCCCUGAGGAACACCGUAAUAAUUUUGUGUAGAAGCUUGUUUUUUUCCAUCCGUCCUUUUUGAAAUGCAUAAUUUUGCACACUUAAGGAAGACAAGCUCAAGGUAGACUGGAUAAGGACAUGAUGGACCAAACCUAAAACCUCCAAAAUUGGGAACUCAUGACACCUUUUAUUUUUUUAUCUUGCCAGAAAUGAAGUUAAGCAGUGUGUUCUCUUCACAUAUUAGUCCACGGUUCCUUAUUUUUGGAAAUACCCACUUUUCUAUUUUAGAAAACAGUGUUUUAGAACUGUGGUAAAAGUUUAGAAACAUAAAUAUUUUUCCAUACUUAAUUUUUCAUUGUCCACACAUUUUAAGACCUGGAAACUGAUCACAUUUAUUUCUGUAUUUUUUCCUAUUUUCCAUCCUUGUGUCGAAACUCUGUUUGUCAUAAUCUAGGUCACUGAGAGAUUAAGGUCAAAGUCAGAAAAGGAUUUUUACAGGUUUGAAAAAAAAAAAAACACAUUUCGGAUUUAUCUAUUAAAAUUGUCCAAAUAUUCCAGACUGUCUAAACCAAAUUACAUAGUAAAACGUCCUGAAUUUGUCCUGGAAGAAGCAUAAAUGAGCCCGGCUUGUGCAAAAAUCCACAAACUUUUCUUCAAAUUGCGCCUUUUUUUUGUUUUUUAAGAUUUCUAUAUUCUACAACCCUUUGUUUUCUUUUAAAAAACAUAUUUCCUUAUUCAGAAAGCCUCAUUUUAACUGUCCAAAGAUAUAAUCUCUCCAACACUUUCUUCUUUUUCUUUUCCUGCGUUAAGUUCAGUCUCUGUUUUUCUUUCUUUCUCCUUCUCUCUCAUCUCAAACGUAAAUUAGAAAGAGUCCAUUAGAUUCCCCUAAAUGUACACCUACACACAUGCACACCCGCACAGAAAUGCAGACACAUGCCUGUUUCAGACCAUAAAUCGUUGUCUCCAUUAUAGCUCUGCCAAUAGCGCCUCCAUGCUGGCUGCACAGCUUCUUUAUGGUGCAGGUUUGAUGUAUACACGGGGCUUGAUCAGGCGGGCGGGGCUAGUGACAGAAUGAGGCUGGGAAAUGAGCGAGAGAGAGAGAAGAACACUGGACCGAUACCGAACACUGAAGAGACAUAAAGAGAGAGAGACAAAAAAUGUAAGAGACGACACAGCUGUCGGACAAUGUGCAAUCAAAACCUGAGUGGGUUGUUUUUCUGCAGACGCCCACAGACAGCGGCAAGUGACGUGUGAAUUUUCCAGUUUUUAUCCACGUCUGAUUGUUGUGUAUCUGUACUGUUUAUCUGGUGCACAAUCUUACAAUAUAAUAAUAAUAAUAAAAAUGAUGAUGCAGUUUGGGAUAAAUUUAUCACAGUUUUGCUUCAAUCCUUAAACAUUUCAGAUUUUUUAAAAUAUUUUUUUUCUGCAAAACUGAAACCUGAUAAAAGCCUGAUUCAUCACUUAAAGCUCCUGUGACGUUAAAUUCAUCCUGAUACUUGAACACGAUACUGAGAGUAAAGCGACUUAAAAGUCACCUAUAGGGUUGGGCACAAAUUAUACUGUGUACGGUGGGUCAACUUAAAUAUCCAACUAACUUUAGCCCGUGUACUUUUUCAUAGAAAAAUGAUCUGACAGCAAAAAUUCAAAGUUAAGUUCUUAAAAAGUUAAUUUAAUUUAAAAUUUCAUGGAAAAGUUCAGAAAUUUCAUCCAAAAAGAAGAACUCUGGUUAGCGCCCUCAUUUAAACCAUGCAUUAUUCUUUUAAUAGAGAAUAUUUAGGAAUCGGAAUUGAAAUGAAGAAUCGGAAUCAGAUCCGGAAUCGUUCAAAAUCAAACGAUACCCAACCCUAGCCACCUAUAACUGUGAUGUGUGCGUACUGUUGCUGUGCGUUCAGAGAAGUACAGUUUGUUGUUGUGGUUUCUAACCUUCAUCCCACGGCUGAGCUCAGCGUUUUCACCGUCUUUAUCUCUUGUAGUGCCAUUAAGCAGCUGUCCUGUAGCCUUAUGGCUUUAGGUGUGACAUUAUAAAGAAUAAUGGCGCUCUAAAAUAUAACAUGUUCAGCUGCUUGUAAAAGACUGCAGUUUACAACCGCUGCAAAACUUUACCCGCUUUUUUCUUCUUCUUUAUUUCAGGAGAAGUUUUAAUAACUCGACUCUUUUGUUUUAAGCAGAGAAAUUUAAUUGUUUGUAUAAUGUUGGUAUAAUAAAAGUGAAAAUAAUAAUAAAUGUGAGAGCUCCUCUUAACAACAGCAGAGGCAGAGAGAAGCCCGUCCUCCCUCUGGGCUGCCUUGAAGCUCUAAGCCUGUCGUAAAUGCUAUUCUAAUGUGUGUGUAUUGUAUAGGUGUGUGUGUGCGGCUGCUGCAGUACUGUCAAUAAGUGCUUGAUGGCUGAGCCUGUGACUGCCUCUCUCUCUCUCUCUCUCUCUCUCUCUCUCUCUCUCUCUCUCUCUCUCUCUCUCUCUCUCUCUCUCUGCAGCACAGAGGAGAUGGAUGGUGAAAGAGCCGGGCCCCUCAGCCACUUUUAUCUCCCCUUUUCCUCUCCUCCAUCACUCUGUCCUGAAUCUUCUGCCAUUUUCCCCCUCUGGUCUCCCUCCUCUCUCUCUUUCUCUCUUUUAAACUUUUUUUUCUGUGAAUGGAUGUUUUCCAUUUCCCUCCCCUGCAGACACUCUUUGUAUAUACAGUCCUUUACGUCUCUGUGAGCUCUCGCUUCGCUCCUCUUCAGCUUUAAAAAUACCGUUUAGGCUGGAAGUCUACAAAUCUCUCUGCUUAUCUGCCUCUGUUGUUUUCUGCUCUCUCUCUCUCUGUGCAUUGUGUAUUUUUUAGGGCUGUUUACUCUCUAACAGAAUUUUCUAUGAGCCCUUACUGUGGAAACAAGGUCACUGCCGUUGUUUUGAAAGGUGUACAUUUUAAUAUCUGCUGUAUUUGAUGUCUACCUUGAAACACUUCACCUUUCCUGUCUCUUAUUUUUAUGUUUUAUUAAUAAUAUUUGUAUAAUUCCUCCUGUUCUGGAUCACUGUUUAAUUCAGGUGACG